GACAGAGGGUGCAAACGUUGUUCGGAAUUACUGGGCGUAAAGCGUGUGUAGGCGGCCGCGCAAGUCGGAUGUGAAAGCCCCGGGCUCAACCCGGGAAGUGCACCCGAUACUGCGUGGCUCGAGUAUCGGAGAGGUUGGUGGAAUUCUCGGUGUAGAGGUGAAAUUCGUAGAUAUCGAGAGGAACACCGGCGGCGAAGGCGGCCAACUGGACGAAUACUGACGCUGAGACACGAAAGCGUGGGGAGCAAAUGGG
rnacentral:rRNA from 1 species